rnacentral:rRNA from 1 species
UACGAGGGGGGGCAAGCGUUGUUCGGAAUUAUUGGGCGUAAAGGGUGCGUAGGUGGUUCGGCAAGUCUUGUGUGAAAUCUUCAGGCUCAACUUGAAGUCUGCACAAGAAACUGCCGGGCUUGAGUAUGGGAGAGGUGAGUGGAAUUUCCGGUGUAGCGGUGAAAUGCGUAGAUAUCGGAAGGAACACCUGUGGCGAAAGCGGCUCACUGGACCAUUACUGACACUGAGGCACGAAA